rnacentral:rRNA from 1 species
GACGAACGCUGGCGGCGUGCUUAACACAUGCAAGUCGAACGGAAAGGCCCUGCUUGCAGGGUACUCGAGUGGCGAACGGGUGAGUAACACGUGGGUGAUCUGCCCUGCACUUCGGGAUAAGCCUGGGAAACUGGGUCUAAUACCGGAUAGGAGCCAUUUUUAGUGUGAUGGUUGGAAAGUUUUUUCGGUGUAGGAUGAGCUCGCGGCCUAUCAGCUUGUUGGUGGGGUAAUGGCCUACCAAGGCGGCGACGGGUAGCCGGCCUGAGAGGGUGGACGGCCACAUUGGGACUGAGAUACGGCCCAGACUCCUACGGGAGGCAGCAGGGGGGAAUAUUGCACAAUGGGCGCAAGCCUGUUGCAGCGACGCCGCGUGGGGGAUGACGGCCUUCGGGUUGUAAACUCCUUUCGCUAGGGACGAAGCUUUUUGUGACGGUACCUAGAUAAGAAGCACCGGCUAACUACGUG